rnacentral:pre_miRNA from 1 species
UCAUGCUCGGAUUAGGUUAGGGGGAUUGUUGUCUGGCUCGGGGUCUCCGGUCGAGAAUCCUUGGCCUUGCCGGAGUUGUCGUUGACCGGAGAUUUCGGACCAGGCUUCAAUCCCUUUAACCAUGCGGCAUUUAG